rnacentral:rRNA from 1 species
UAUCUCGGCUCUUGCAUCGAUGAAGAACGUAGCGAAAUGCGAUACUUGGUGUGAAUUGCAGAAUCCCGUGAACCAUCGAGUCUUUGAACGCAAGUUGCGCCUGAAGCCAUUAGGUUGAAGGCACGUCUGCCUGGGCGUCACGCAUUGCGUCACCCACUCCCCCGUGCCUAGCUGGGCAUG